AAGUCGUAACAAGGUUUCCGUAGGUGAACCUGCGGAAGGAUCAUUCACAAUGAGUGUUUUAUGGCACUCUUUAAAAAUCCAUAUCCACCUUGUGUGCAAUGUUUGUUGGGAGAGAGGCAACUCUUUCCCUUCACAAAUAUCAACCUAUAUCUUUAACAACAUUCGUCUGAUAACAUAUUAUGAAUAUACUUAAUUCAAAAUAUAACUUUCAACAACGGAUCUCUUGGCUCUCGCAUCGAUGAAGAACGCAGCGAAAUGCGAUACGUAAUGUGAAUUGCAGAAUUCAGUGAAUCAUCGAAUCUUUGAACGCAUAUUGCGCUCUUUGGUAUUCCGAAGAGCAUGCUUGUUUGAGUAUCAGUAAACACCUCAACCUCCUCUUGUUUUUUCAAAAGGAGGGUGGACUUGAGCUAUCCCAACAACCUUCACCGGUAGGCGGGCGGCUUGAAAUGCAGGUGCAGCUGGACUUUUAUCUGAGCUAAAAGCAUAUCUAUUUAGUCCUCGUCAAACAGGAUUAUUACUAUUGCUGCAGCUAACAUAAAGGAUAAUUGUCCUCAUUGCUGACUGAUGCAGGAUUUUACGACACUUUAUGUGUUGUUCAACUCGAUCUCAAAUCAAGUAAGACUACCCGCUGAACUUAA
rnacentral:rRNA from 1 species